CUUCUAUUACUUGCAGUCAGUAACAAAGAUUCAUCCUUGUGUCCACCAAGCAACAAGGAGAAUCUUUGUCACUUAGUGUAAUUAAUAGCCGCAC
rfam:Ailuropoda melanoleuca scaffold1215_44, whole genome shotgun sequence.